rnacentral:rRNA from 1 species
CAAUAGCGUAUAUUAAAGCUGUUGCGGUUAAAAAGCUCGUAGUUGGAUUUCUGUCAAGGACAACUGGUCCGCCCCUCGGGUGAGCACAUAGUUUGGUCUUGGCAUCUUGUUGGAAACUGUUGCUGCACUUGGUUGUGUGGCGCAGUGUCCAGCACUUUCACUUUGAGGAAAUUGGAGUGUUUCAAGCAGGCACAUGCCUUUGGACACAGUAGCAUGGAAUAAUUAGAUUGGGCUUUUGCUCCAACUUGUCGGUUUCUGGAGCUGAGGUGAGAAUUAAUGGGGAUUGUUGGGGGCAUCCGAAUUUAGCCGUCAGAGGUGAAAUUCUUGGAUCUGCUAAAGACGGACAACUGCGGAAGCGUUUGCCCAGGAUGUUUUCAUUGA